rnacentral:tRNA from 1 species
GCGCCCGUAGCUCAACUGGAUAGAGCGCUUGGCUACGGACCAGGAGGCUCCGGGUUCAAAUCCUGGCGGGCGUACCA